AUUGAACGCUGGCGGCAGGCCUAACACAUGCAAGUCGAGCGGAUGAAGGGAGCUUGCUCCUGGAUUCAGCGGCGGACGGGUGAGUAAUGCCUAGGAAUCUGCCUGGUAGUGGGGGAUAACGUCCGGAAACGGGCGCUAAUACCGCAUACGUCCUGAGGGAGAAAGUGGGGGAUCUUCGGACCUCACGCUAUCAGAUGAGCCUAGGUCGGAUUAGCUAGUUGGUGGGGUAAAGGCCUACCAAGGCGACGAUCCGUAACUGGUCUGAGAGGAUGAUCAGUCACACUGGAACUGAGACACGGUCAAGAGUCCUACGGGAGGCAGCAGUGGGGAAUAUUGGACAAUGGGCGAAAGCCUGAUCCAGCCAGGCCGCGUGUGUGAAGAAGGUCUUCGGAUUGUAAAGCACUUUAAGUUGGGAGGAAGGGCAGUAAGUUAAUACCUUGCUGUUUUGACGUUACCAACAGAAUAAGCACCGGCUAACUUCGUG
rnacentral:rRNA from 1 species